rnacentral:lncRNA from 1 species
AAAGAAAGUAACUAAAAGAAUUAAGCAAAAUUAAUUGUAGACGGAUAUUUCAUACAUAAAGUUAAACAAGUUGAUUGAUCUGCAAUCUAUUCCAAUUACAAAUAUGCAAGAUAACGAUGUCGAACGAUACUUGAAGGAGAGUUCGAAAAGUUAUAAAGAAGCAAAAGUAAAGAAUUAUGCGAGGAGGAGCUCGCUGCAGAAACGAACACUUGGUAUUGAGACAGAGAAAAGAAUAGCAGCUGCCAGCUUUAGCAGAGAAGAAAAACAAUUAAGAGAACAACUGAAACAGAUGAAAAUAGAAAAAAAGAAAUAUUCCAUCAUAAACGACUUGAGAG